UACGUAGGGUGCGAGCGUUAAUCGGAAUUACUGGGCGUAAAGCGUGCGCAGGCGGUUAUUUAAGUCAGAUGUGAAAUCCCCGGGCUCAACCUGGGAACUGCAUUUGUGACUGCAUCGCUGGAGUGCGGCAGAGGGGGAUGGAAUUCCGCGUGUAGCAGUGAAAUGCGUAGAUAUGCGGAGGAACACCGAUGGCGAAGGCAAUCCCCUGGGCCUGCACUGACGCUCAGUGCACGAAAGCGUGGGGAGCAAACAGG
rnacentral:rRNA from 1 species